AAACAAGAAUCCACCAGGUCAUGUAAGUGCAUGCCUUCAUCUCCAUGCUGUUGUUUCCUCCUUUCAGCUACCUGGUGGACGAGGAACUCUGGCUUGUGAUGGAAUACAUGGACGGAGGUUCUUUACAUGAUGUCAUCAGGGAGACUCACAUGGCAGAAGGAGAGAUAGCAGCUGUCUCUCGGGAGUGCCUGCAAGGCCUGGAUUUCCUGCACUCCAAUCAAGUGAUCCACCGCGAUAUCAAAAGCCACAACAUUCUCCUGGGCUUGGAUGGAUCUGUCAAGUUGGCUGAUUUUGGCCUUGCUGCUCAGCUCACUGCUGAGCAGAGCAAACGGAGAUCAGCUGUUGGGACUACUUACUGGAUGGCGCCAGAAAUUUUCACCAGGAAGCCCUAUGGCCCCAAAGUGGACAUCUGGUCCUUUGGAAUUGUGGGGAUCGAGAUGGUGGAAGGAGCACCUCCGUACCUGAUGAAAACCUCCCGCACGGUACGCUGCAGCUGCUCUCAGAUACUGCUGUCACCCUGACAAAAUCUGCUCCCAUCCUUCUGCCUGGGAAGCUUGCCAACACCUGAAAAUGAUAGGUUCCAGGCUGCACAGUCUCUUGUGCUUCUUGGCCAGAUCAUCCCCUUGCCAUUUUUAUGCAUGAACAACACCAAAAAAUCGUGAUGCCUUUUGCUUGGCAGAAGCUUUGCCUCAGGGAGCAGGGAGCAGUGCUGAGCUGCAUUUUGUGGAAUAAUCCUUGGAAAUAGUAGAAUGAGAAGGAAGUCCUUCUUUUAAAAUGCCUGAAGAGGUGGUGUCAGUGCUCAGAGAAGCAAAGUGUGCUGUUGCUGAUGGAGCUGCUGCUAAUUCCAGCAGCCAGUGAAAUCAGGGGUCAAGGCAAGAGCCUUUGCAUACUGGACUGGCUAUGGCUGCCUCUGGCUUUGGGUUGUUUUAGUAGGGCUAGGGAGUAAAGUGCCACUGGAGAGUGGAGCUUGUCCAGUGGGGUCUGUGUGAGCAGUUUGGGGUGCGAAGGAGACAGGUAGAGUGUGGCAUUUCCUUCUUCUCUAGGUUCAACAGCUGAUAAGCACCGGGGCCCCCCCGAAGCUGCAGAAGCCCAGGCAGCAGUCGGCGUGGCUGCGAGACUUCCUGCACUGCUGCCUGGAGAGGGACGAGGACAGGCGCUGGUCUGCCCAGGAACUUCUGCAGUUUUCCUGUUGUACCCCUCACUUCCCUGAACCCACUAUCCCUGAGAAGGAGAGGAUGGGAGAUGGAACCUGCUCAAGAGCACAGUGCUCUCAUACCAGGACCUCACUGCUGCCUCACCUGAGGGUUUACAGCUGCCUCCAGGCCCUUCCAGGCUAAGCGCAGGUGCUCAGGAGUCUGACUUUUUCCUGACAUCUCCCAAGAAAGUCUUUGCCUCAUCUGGACUUCUUGGGGUUUCAUCAGAGGAACCAGGCACCAGCAAAUUUCAUCUCAAGCGUCAGCUCAUCAUUCCGCUGGUUCCCAUAGACCGCAGAUGCCGCCCUGAGCUCAUGGUUUCUCUGCGUCCCAUAGACCAUCACAGCCCUUCCAUGGCCUCUCCAGAGGGAAGCAGCUGCACAUCUUCAGAGCAGUAUUUGCCAGCCUGCAGUUCAUCAGGUAGGGAAAGAGUUUCUACCCUUGCUUUCCAAGCAGGUCCUGGUUAGUGACCCUUUAAAGAGUUUUCCUGCAGUGCUCUAUCAUGGGUAGAUCUCAAGCGAGAAUCGGGUAGAAAGUGUCAAGUCGCCUAGGAAGAGGGAUCUUGAAAACAGAAGGAUUUUCUGCCAGCUUUUCCUGUCCUUGCUGCAGAUUUGGAGGGUGUUCUGGGCAUUUUCCAGACAGCCCUUCUGUAGGGGUACAAGGGCAAGGCAAAAGAUAUUGCCUAACAAGUCAUCAGUGUUAGGUGCACUCCCCUCUUUCUUUGAAUGAAGCCAGACUAGGAUGGUGAGAGGAUAUUGCAGAGCUUUAAGACUGUCUGCCCUGAAAAUCAAGCCAAACCACUGAAAUGAGCUCUGCCUGCCCCAGAAGAGUUGGAGCUGCAGAAUACAGCCUCACCCACAAGGCUGGUUUUAGAAAAAACUCACAGUUUAAUUUCAGCAUGUGUGUCUGAAGAUCUGGGCUCUUCCUGGGUGAAUCCACUUUCUGUGGUCUUUUGUGAUGAGAAACCAAA